rnacentral:rRNA from 1 species
UACGUAGGGGGCAAGCGUUAUCCGGAUUUACUGGGUGUAAAGGGAGCGUAGGCGGCGGUGCAAGUCAGAAGUGAAAGCCCGGGGCUCAACUCCGGGACUGCUUUUGAAACUGUGCUGCUAGAUUGCAGGAGAGGCAAGUGGAAUUCCUAGUGUAGCGGUGAAAUGCGUAGAUAUUAGGAGGAACACCAGUGGCGAAGGCGGCUUGCUGGACUGUAAAUGACGCUGAGGCUCGAAAGCGUG